GAUGAACGCUGGCGGCGUGCCUAAUACAUGCAAGUCGAGCGAAUGGAUUAAGAGCUUGCUCUUAUGAAGUUAGCGGCGGACGGGUGAGUAACACGUGGGUAACCUGCCCAUAAGACUGGGAUAACUCCGGGAAACCGGGGCUAAUACGGGAUAACAUUUUGAACCGCAUGGUUCGAAAUUGAAAGGCGGCUUCGGCUGUCACUUAUGGAUGGACCCGCGUCGCAUUAGCUAGUUGGUGAGGUAACGGCUCACCAAGGCAACGAUGCGUAGCCGACCUGAGAGGGUGAUCGGCCACACUGGGACUGAGACACGGCCCAGACUCCUACGGGAGGCAGCAGUAGGGAAUCUUCCGCAAUGGACGAAAGUCUGACGGAGCAAGGCCGCGUGAGUGAUGAAGGCUUUCGGGUCGUAAAACUCUGUUGUUAGGGAAGAACAAGUGCUAGUUGAAUAAGCUGGUACCUUGACGGUACCUAACCAGAAAGCCACGGCUAACUACGUGCCAGCCGCCGCGGUAA
rnacentral:rRNA from 1 species